rfam:Stomoxys calcitrans breed 8C7A2A5H3J4 unplaced genomic scaffold Scaffold129, whole genome shotgun sequence.
UGCAAGGGCACUCUGUGUCGCAAUGAAUUUUUACCACAAGUGAAACAAUUUGUAACCUUGCUAUAAAAAUAUUAUGUAUUUUAAAAUCUUUAACUCUUU